rnacentral:rRNA from 1 species
CCCUUAGAUGUCCUGGGCCGCACGCGUGCUACACUGACACUUACACCGAGUUUUUCCAAUGCCGAAAGGCCAUUGGUAAUCAGCAAUAAGUGUCGUGAUGGGGAUAGAUCUUUGGAAUUAUUGAUCUUGAACGAGGAAUGCCUAGUAAUCGUAGGUCAUCAGCCUGCGAUGAUUACGUCCCUGCCCUUUGUACACACCGCCCGUCGCUCCUACCGAUUGAAUGGUCCGGUGAAAAUUUCGGAUACCGGCAUUGCUGGCGGUUCGCCGCCGGCGACGCUGGUAGAAGAUCUCUAAACCUUAUCAUUUAGAGGAAGGAGAAGUCGUAACA